rnacentral:rRNA from 1 species
UACGGAGGGUGCGAGCGUUAUCCGGAUUCACUGGGUUUAAAGGGUGCGUAGGAGGUUUGGUAAGUCAGUGGUGAAAUCUCCGAGCUUAACUUGGAAACUGCCGUUGAUACUAUCUGUCUUGAAUAUUGUGGAGGUGAGCGGAAUAUGUCAUGUAGCGGUGAAAUGCUUAGAUAUGACAUAGAACACCAAUUGCGAAGGCAGCUCACUACACAAUCAUUGACUCUGAGGCACGAAAGCGUGGGGAGCGAACAGG